AGAGCGAACGCUGGCGGCAGGCUUAACACAUGCAAGUCGAGCGGGCGUAGCAAUACGUCAGCGGCAGACGGGUGAGUAACGCGUGGGAACGUACCUUUUGGUUCGGAACAACACAGGGAAACUUGUGCUAAUACCGGAUAAGCCCUUACGGGGAAAGAUUUAUCGCCGAAAGAUCGGCCCGCGUCUGAUUAGCUAGUUGGUGAGGUAAUGGCUCACCAAGGCGACGAUCAGUAGCUGGUCUGAGAGGAUGAUCAGCCACAUUGGGACUGAGACACGGCCCAAACUCCUACGGGAGGCAGCAGUGGGAAUAUUGGACAAUGGGCGCAAGCCUGAUCCAGCCAUGCCGCGUGAGUGAUGAAGGCCCUAGGGUUGUAAAGCUCUUUUGUGCGGGAAGAUAAUGACGGUACCGCAAGAAUAAGCCCCGGCUAACUUCGUGCCAGCAGCCGC
rnacentral:rRNA from 1 species